rnacentral:rRNA from 1 species
CCCUUAGAUGUCCUGGGCCGCACGCGUGCUACACUGACGCAUACAACGAGUAUUUCCAGCUCCGAGAGGUAGCUGGUAAUCAGCAAUAUGCGUCGUGAUGGGGAUUGAUCUUUGGAAUUGUGGAUCAUGAACGAGGAAUGCCCAGUAAGCGCAGUUCAUCAAACUGCGUUGAUUAAGUCCCUGCCCUUUGUACACACCGCCCGUCGCUCCUACCGAGUGGGUGAUCCGGUGAACUAUUCGGACUCCGGUUAUUCCAGCAUUUGGUUUUGCUGGGGAAAGUUUCGUGAACCUUAUCACUUGGAGGAAGGAGAAGUCGUANCA